CUCUAGCCCACAGGAAGUGAAACAUUUAGAUCCCACCAGGUUGGUGCAACAGGGAAGGGCUGGAUCAAGGGACCCUGUCAGGUCUGAAGGUCGCCCUACAGGUCACCCGGGAGCACUCGGAGGGCGCCCAGGGCCCCAUGGCAACGCAGCACAGAGACAUCAAACAGGGAGGCCGCACGUCACUGCGGUCAGGGAGGCUCCUCCCCACUGGCUAGCGGCUGGCUCCUCAGGCCGUCAGGCAGCCCGCCUCCUGUCGCCGUGGCGACCGGCUGUGUUGUGGACUGUCCCGGGCCCACCAGAUCCCUGCCCCCUCGCUGGGGCACUGCCGCUCCCCGCAUCCGGGGCGGGCGCCCAGCUCUGUCAUUCAGCCGCCCGUGUGCGGCCUAGUGCCGGCAGAGUGGCCUGCCUUUUGCGGCUCAGAGUCCCCUGGGGACAACAGCUUUGCCGGGGUCUCUGGAAGGGUGGAUGGCCACGGAGUGGGUAGUUGCCAGGAUGCUGUUGGGGUGGAUGUCACAGGAAUGGCCAACAGGCUAACUACUAGGACGAUGUUGGGAGCUCAAAGGCAGCACCCAGGUCCAGCAUGAACUUGGCAGUCAUGCCCACACACUCUAGAAGAUUCCAGAUAUAACAAUUCCAGCAACCAUCAAAUCAUCCACCUGGAAUUCUGACCUGUAUCCUCAAGAGAUGGCAAUGAUCUGAGACUGUUUCUCAAACUAGGAAUGCCCAGGACUGCAGGCCUGAUCUAAACCCUGACAUGGGGAAGGCCACCAGGGGAGAGCCCCUGCCUGGCUCCUCUCCGGGCUGGAGGCUCGAACCCAGACCAAAGGAGGCUGGCGGCGGCCGUUGCCGGGGAGUAGCCGUUUCUGGUGCCUCCACAGACCACUUCUGAGUGUCCUGCCUGCUCAGACCCCUGUCGCCUCAGUUUCCCCACCUACUGAAGGAGACAGGAAGAGGCGACCUCCAGAUCGGUUUGAGAGUUCCAUCUAUCAAAGUGAGCCAAAGGCUAGCACACCCCAGUAGCCCAGCCCGUUGCCACAAGGAGGAACAGGGGGUACAGGUGCCCUCCAUGGUUUCACCCAGCAGCGCAAGGCGACGUGGGUACUCCCGGAAGUGGGUGUGGGUCAUAGGCCAAAGUAGUUGCCAUGGAAGUGACUGUAGAGGACACUUGUGGAAGCUGGAGCAGGCAGCACCUGCUGCGGGUGGCGUCCGUCCGUCCGGAGGGGGCCUGGGCAUGAGUCAUUGCCCAGCAAUGAGGUUGAGUCACAGGGUGGGGUCCCCCGCACUCCCCCCACCAGCCGCUCCUACAAAGGACCUUUGAGAAGAACUCAGCAUCCCCGCCCAGCCUCCAGGCCGUCUCUGGUGUUAGUUGUGGGCAUAGACACUUCUGGGCUGCCCCCAGGAGGCUGGCCUGGGCCUGGGUGUCUGCCACAUGUGUGAAAAGUCACCAUCCAGGGCCUAGCAUUCCCAGGGAGGGGGCUUCCUGGCCACCAGAGCCACUGCCAGGACAGCAGACGAUCUUUCUUUCUUUCUUUCUUUCUUUCUUUGUUUCUUUCUUUCCUUCCUUCCUUCUUUCCUUCUUUCUUUUCCUUCCUUCCUUCCUUCCUUCCUUCCUUCUUUACUUCCUUCCUUCCUUUCUUGCAGAGCCCACGCAGGCACUCAGCAGGCUGAGUCAGGAAUAGCGGGUGCUGGAGGCAUCGCCCCAUCUUCAGGACCACUCUAGCCUGAGGGGCUUCUCUCCUAGAGACCUUGGAGCCUUCUCAGUCAGGACACAGACAGCCAUACCAGGCCUGAGGAUGCCAAGAAGCCUCCACUUGGGUACAAGGGUUAAGAAGGAGCCAGUAGCCAGCGGUGGUGUUGUACACCUUUAAUCCCAGCACUCAGGAGGCAGAGGCAGGUGGAUCUCUGAGUUUAAGGGCUGCUGGUCUACAGAAAGAGUUCCAUGAUAGCCAGGGCUACACAGAGAAACCCUGUUUCAAAAAAGAAAAAGGAGCCAUUUGUGGGAGGUGUAUACCUUUAGUCCCAGCACUCAGGCAAGUGGCUCUCUGCAUGUUUGAAGCCAGACUGGACUACAUAUCAAGUUCUAGGCCAGCAAGGAUACAGAAUGAGACCCCAGGUGGCUUAAAAGGUCAGCUACAGGGAGUGGGUGGUGGAGUGGGGGUACCUGGAGGUGGCUCAGCAGUCCUCCAGAGGAUCCCAGCACCCACAUGGCUGCUCACAACCCGCAGUAACUCCAGUUCCACGGAACCAGAUGUUAUCUUAGACAUGCACACAGGCAAAACAACCAUACUUAUAAAUAAAAGAGAGAUUUAAUAAAGCAUCAAAAGAGCUGUUCAUCAGGUGUUUUUAUUUUAUUUUUUACAUUUGUUUAAAUUGGUGGCACAUGACUUUAAUCCCAGCUCCAGCUCUCACUGGAGGCAGAGGCAGGCAGCUCUCUGAGUCCAAGGCCAGACUAGUCUACAUAGAGUUUCAGGAAGGCCAGGGAUACAAAGAGAACUAGAGUGAGUGAGUGUGUGUGUGUGUUUGCGCUCAUGCACAUGGUAGUGGGGUUGUGGUUUAUGAAUGUAUAUGGGCACUGUGUUUGAAUGAAUUGAACUCAGGACCUCUGGAAGCAGCCAGUACUCUUUUUUUUUCCUUCGAGACAGGGUUUCUCUGUGUGGCUUUGGAGCCUAUCCUGGCACUCGCUCUGGAGACCAGGCUGGUCUCGAACUCACAGAGAUCUGCCUGCCCCUGCCUCCCGAGUGCUGGGAUUAAAGGCGUGUGCCACCAACAACCGGUGCAGCUAGUAUUCUUAAUUACUGAGUCAUCUCUGCAGCCCCAACCAAGAUGUUUUAAACUGGGUCUGGUGGCAAUGAAACUUUUAAACAAAGGCGGUGUGGAAGUAGAAUUCAUGAUGCUCCUGGCCUUUACUCUGCAUUAGGGAGGUGGAAACAGGCAGAUCUGUAACUUUGAAGCCAGCCUGGUCUACAUACCAAAUUCUAGGGCUAAACAGUGAGAACUCUUUGUUUUUUCGAGACAGAGUUUCUCUGUGAAACAGCCCUGGCUGUCCUGGAACUAGCUCUUUUAGACCAGGCUGCCUGGAACUCACAGACAUCCACCUGCUUCUGCCUCCUAAGGGAUUAAAGGCGUGCGCCACUGCCCAGCCCAGGGAGAACUCUUUAAACAACAAUAACAAGAAACGGUUGAAUGCCACCACUUGAUUCCCAGUGCCACGCACAUGGUGAGAAAAGAGAACUGUCUUCCAAAAAUUGCCCUCUGGACCCCACCUGUGUGUCUUGACAUGCUGUAUGCACCCCCAUACAUAUAUCUGUGGAAAAAAUAAUUCAUACACCACUGAAUUGGUAAUCAAUGUGUUCAAAUGUAUAAGCAUAUAUACACAGAUAUGGGCAGAUGGUCACCACACUUUGUAUUAUUUGACUUUAUUAUUGCUGACUAAUGAAACCCUCAGCUUAAAAACAAGUAGCUUUUAAUGACUCUCAGCUCACACUAUCCUGUAGCUCCAGCUCCAGGGGUCUCCAUGGCUGCUAUACUCAUGAGUGCAUGUACACAUAAUUAAAAGAAUGUUUGCUGAGUGUGGUGAUGCAUGCCUUUAGUGCCAGCACCUGGGAGGCAAAGGCAGGCG
ensembl:lncRNA